UACGUAGGGUGCGAGCGUUGUCCGGAAUUAUUGGGCGUAAAGGGCUCGUAGGCGGUCUGUCGCGUCGAAAGUGAAAACUCAGGGCUUAACCCUGAGCCUGCUUCCGAUACGGGCAGACUAGAGGUAUGCAGGGGAGAACGGAAUUCCUGGUGUAGCGGUGAAAUGCGUAGAGAUCCGGAGGAACACCAGUGGCGAAGGCGACACGCUGGGCCAUACCUGACGCUAAAGCGCGACAGCAUGGGGAGCAAACGGG
rnacentral:rRNA from 1 species